GGUCCCCAGAUGUUGUUGGAAUGCAACUCCCAUCACCCCUAGCUAGCAAGGCCAGAGCUCAGGGAUGAUGGGAGUUGUAGUCCAACAACAUCUGGGGACCCA
rnacentral:miRNA from 1 species